rnacentral:lncRNA from 1 species
AUAAAUGCAACUUUUUAUUGUGGAAUAGAUUAAGUGAAAAAGACAAAAAAAAUAGAAAAGAAACACACAAAGUAAGAAGUCUUAAUAAGUGGUCUGAUAGAAAAAAGAAUCCACCAAUUCUUCCUUCUCACUACUAUUUUCUCCAGUUCUUAAACUAGAAUCCCUUUUUAGUUUCAAAAGCACCUCCUGUUCUUUUUAUAGAAAUCUUUGAGAUGUUCCAUCUUGACCCUCUCCAUUUGCAAUUUGCUUCCUUUUGUUUAUUCAUCAAUCUCCUUAUCUACAACUAAUGGAUGGCGAUGACUGCCAAAAUGUUUUGAGUUAGGCAGCACUCGUGUGACUGUUGCAGCUAUGACAAUUCUUUCUGAAUUAUGCAAAUUGUGUUUUCACUCAAACAAAACCUGCAGGGGAGGGGAAGAAGGAAGAUGACAACGUAAGGAGCUUGAUAAUCAGUGAUAAUUUCCAAAAGCACAUGGCUAGUAAGGCUGUUUAUUGUUAGGAAAUUCAGCAGAAUUUUUCUUAAUCAGAUUUGUGAGAAAAAAUAUAAAUGCAGAAUAAUGGCACUCAAAAUAAAACUCUUUAGAUUUCACUGCGCAAAUGUAUUAAUGAUAAAAAAUAAAAUUACAAUAUCACUUUUUCUCUCUUUCUUUAUUUCUACUAUGCGUUUCUCUUUUUC